GAUAAAGUGGCUGAGGUAAAGCGGUAGAUUGUAAAUCUAUAAACGAGUAAAAACUCCUUUAUCA
rnacentral:tRNA from 1 species